rnacentral:rRNA from 1 species
CUGCGAAUGGCUCAUUAUAUAAGUUAUCGUCUAUUUGAUAGUACCUUACUACUUGGAUAACCGUGGUAAUUCUAGAGCUAAUACAUGCUAAAAAUCCCGACUUCGGAAGGGAUGUAUUUAUUAGAUUAAAAACCAAUGCCCCCCGGGGCUCUCUGGUGAUUCAUGAUAACUUCUCGAAUCGCACGGCCUUGCGCCGGCGAUGGUUCAUUCAAAUUUCUUCCCUAUCAACUUUCGAUGUUUGGGUAGUGGCCAAACAUGGUUGCAACGGGUAACGGAGGGUUAGGGCUCGACCCCGGAGAAGGAGCCUGAGAAACGGCUACUACAUCCAAGGAAGGCAGCAGGCGCGCAAAUUACCCAAUCCCGAUUCGGGGAGGUAGUGACAAUAAAUACUGAUACAGGGCUCUUUCGGGUCUUGUAAUUGGAAUGAGUACAAUUUAAAUCCCUUAACGAGGAACAAUUGGAGGGCAAGUCUGGUGCCAGCAGCCGCGGUAAUUCCAGCUCCAAUAGCGUAUAUUAAAGUUGUUGUGGUUAAAAAGCUCGUAGUUGAACCUUGGGCCUGGCUGGCCGGUCCGCCUCACCGCGUGUUACUGGUCCGGCCGGGUCUUUCCCUCUGUGGAACCACAUGCCCUUCACUGGGCGUGGCGGGGAAACAGGACUUUUACUUUGAAAAAAUUAGAGUGCUUCAGGCAGGCCUAUGCUCGAAUACAUUAGCAUGGAAUAAUGAAAUAGGACGUGCGGUUCUAUUUUGUUGGUUUCUAGGACCGCCGUAAUGAUUAAUAGGGACAGUCGGGGGCAUCAGUAUUCAAUUGUCAGAGGUGAAAUUCUUGGAUUUAUUGAAGACUAACUACUGCGAAAGCAUUUGCCAAGGAUGUUUUCAUUAAUCAGGAACGAAAGUUAGGGGAUCGAAGACGAUCAGAUACCGUCGUAGUCUUAACCAUAAACUAUGCCGACUAGGGAUCGGACGAUGUUAUUUAGUUGACUCGUUCGGCACCUUGCGAGAAAUCAAAGUG